AAACAAAACAAAAAUGAAUUCCCUGGGAAUCCCUGAAGACAGAGCUUGUCACUCUCCCAUCAGACUAGAAAAUACCAUGAGGAAAGGGGCUGUGUCUGAGGGAGCUCCGAGUGUAAGUGCUGUGUAUCCUCCAUUAGACCUGGGGCUCCCUGAAGGAUAUACCUGCCUCCUCCAUCGGACUGAAAGCUCCUUGAGAGGGGGGCCUGUGUGUCCCCCGUAAUACUGGGAGCUAGCUGUUUUCAGGGCCCGUUUACCUCCCUUCAGGCUGGGGAAAGCUCCCUGAGGAUGGGGCUAUAUUUCCCCAUCAGUCUGUGGUUUUCGUGACAGCAGCACAAUAUCCACCUCGCCCUUCACCAUGAUCUUCAACCUUCAUGAUGCCUUCUUCCUCUCCUCUUGCCAGAGCUUAUUCAAUAAGUCUUGUCUCCGCAGGCCCCUCUGCUGACAGCGUAUACACAAAAGUGAGGCUCCUCGAAGGGGAGACUCUGUCUGUGCAGUGUUCCUAUAAGGGCUACAAAAGCUGCAUGGAUGGCAAGGUUUGGUGCAAAGUCAGGAAGAAGAAGUGUGAGCUUGGCUUUGCCCGAGUCUGGGUGAAAGGGCCCCGCUACUUGCUACAGGACGAUGCCCAGGCCAAGGUGGUCAACAUCACCAUGGUGGCCCUCAGGCUCCAGGACUCAGGCCGAUACUGGUGCAUGCGCAACACCUCUGGGACCCUGUACCCCUUGAUGGGCAUCCAGCUGGAUGUGUCUCCAGGUGAGUGGGCUGCAGGGGCACUGGGACGGGUGGAAGGAGUCCUCCCUGCCCCACACUCCACUAACAUCAGAGAUAAUAAGAAUAAUACUCCAUUAAUGGUCAUGUUGCAGUGCCCUUAUGGCACUAUUCAUGGCACUAUUGCCACCAUUUUACAGAUGAAAAUAAUGAGACUUGAAAACCCAAUGUGACUCUGAGCUUGUCUGGGGUCCCAGAGCUAGCAGGUGGCUGAGAUGAGGUUCAAACUUCGCACUGUCUGUGCUGUGUUUUAUUCACUCAUUGCUUCAACAUAAUUCAUUGAGCCCCUAUUAUGUGGCAGGCACUAUUCUAGGCUCUAAGGAUACAGUAGUGAGCAAAAACAGACACGAUCUUGCUCUAUAACAAUUGCAAAUAACAAAUUUUUGUAAGAAAAAAAAAAACACCAGUGAACAGGAAAGUAACUCAGUAAUGGAGGAGCUGUGGAAGUACUGAGGAUCAGAAAACACUUCCCUGAGCAGAUGACACUAAGCCGACCCCUGAAAGGUGAGUGUUCUCCAGCCCUGUUGAAAUCUGGGUGCUUUGAAGGGCCCUUUGUGGCAAGGGCUGCAUGUGCAAAGGUCCUGAGGUCAGAAAGAACUUGGCUUGUAUAAGAAAGGCCUAUUUGGCUAGGCGCAGUGGCUCACGCCUUUAAUCCCAGCAUUUUGGGAAGCUGACGCGGGUGGAU